AGAGUUUGAUUCUGGCUCAGAACGAACGCUGGCGGCGUGGAUAAGACAUGCAAGUCGUACGCUGGUAUGCGGGUAGCAAUAUUUGCAUAUUGGAGUGGCGAACGGGUGAGUAACACGUGGGUAAUUUAUCUUUGAGUUAGGGAUAAUUCGCUGAAAGGCGGACUAAUACCGAAUGUGGAUACUGGGUGGGGACAUCUGGUUUCUAAAGUUGGGGACCGAGAGGCCUGGCGCUCACAGGUAAGCCCGCGUCCUAUCAGCUGGUUGGUGAGGUAAGAGCUUACCAAGGCUAUGACGGGUAGCUGGUCUGAGAGGACGAUCAGCCACACUGGAACUGAGACACGGUCCAGACACCUACGGGUGGCAGCAGUCGAGAAUCUUUCUCAAUGGGGGCAACCCUGAAGGAGCGACGCCGCGUGGGGGAUGAAGGGCUUCGGCUCGUAAACCCCUGUCAUUUGUGAGCAGGUGUGAUUGUUUAAGAGAUGGUUACAUAGAUAGUAGCAAAAGAGGAAGGGACGGCUAACUCUGUGCCAGCAGCCGCGGUAAUACAGAGGUCCCAAGCGUUGUUCGGAAUCACUGGGCGUAAAGGGUGCGUAGGCGGUAGUGUAAGACUUAGGUGAAAUCUCCAUGCUUAACGUGGAGCUCGCCUGGGAGACUGCAUUACUUGAGGAUUGGAGGGGAGACUGGAAUUCUUGGAGUAGCAGUGAAAUGCGUAGAUAUCAAGAGGAAGACCAGUGGCGAAGGCGAGUCUCUGGACAAUACCUGACGCUGAGGCACGAAGGCCAGGGGAUCAAACGGGAUUAGAUACCCCGGUAGUCCUGGCAGUAAACGGUGCACACUUGCUGUGUGAGGGAUCGACCCCUUACGUGGCGAAGCCAACGCAUUAAGUGUGCCGCCUGGGGAGUACGGUCGCAAGACUAAAACUCAAAGAAAUUGACGGGGGCCUGCACAAGCGGUGGAGUAUGUGGCUUAAUUCGAUGCAACGCGAAGAACCUUACCUGGCCUUGACAUGCAGAUAGUAGAAGGGUGAAAGCCCGACGAGUGAGCAAUCACAGUCUGCACAGGUGCUGCAUGGCUGUCGUCAGCUCGUGUCGUGAGAUGUUGGGUUAA
rnacentral:rRNA from 1 species